rnacentral:rRNA from 1 species
CACUGGUCGAGUGAUCCUGCGCCGAAGAUUUCCGGGGCUAAAACUUACUACCGAAGCUACGGCAUCAGUAAUGAUGGGUAGGGGAGCUUCCCAUACGGGUUGAAGCAUGACCGUAAGGACAUGUGGACAGUAUGGGAGUGAGAAUGUUGGCAGGAGUAGCGAGAUGUGGGUGAGAAUCCCACAGGCCGUAAACCCAAGGUUUCCAGGGGAAGGUUCGUCCGCCCUGGGUUAGUCGGGACCUAAGCUGAGGCCGAAAGGCGUAGGUGAUGGACAACAGGUUGAUAUUCCUGUACUACCGAUAACCGUUUG